UUGAACGCUGGCGGAAUGCUUUACACAUGCAAGUCGAACGGCAGCACGGGGGCAACCCUGGUGGCGAGUGGCGAACGGGUGAGUAAUACCUAGGAACAUGUCCAGUAGUGGGGGAUAACGCAGCGAAAGCUGUGCUAAUACCGCAUAUGCCCUGAGGGGGAAAGGGGGGGAUCGCAAGACCUCUCGCUUUCGGAGUGGCCGAUAUCGGAUUAGCUAGUAGGUGAGGUAAAGGCUCACCUAGGCGACGAUCCGUAGCUGGUCUGAGAGGACGACCAGCCACACUGGAACUGAGACACGGUCCAGACUCCUACGGGAGGCAGCAGUGGGGAAUUUUGGACAAUGGGCGAAAGCCUGAUCCAGCCAUACCGCGUGAGUGAAGAAGGCCUUCGGGUUGUAAAGCUCUUUCAGCCGGAAAGAAAUUGCUUCUAUUAAUACUAGGAGUAGAUGACGGUACCGGAAGAAGAAGCACCGGCUAACUACGU
rnacentral:rRNA from 1 species